UUGGUUCAUCAACACUAACUUGUAGAUCUCGUGCUUCGUGGUUUUGCUGUUCGUCGGCAAGUGGUACAAAUUCGCUGCCAAGACUUACCAUCUCGGGCACCUGGUAGCCCUGACGUCACCGUGACGUCACGCAUACCACCAACAUGGCGUCAUGAAUGAAAUCGGAAAUACGAGGCAGGUCCAUUCAUAGUUAGCUCGCCUCGCGGACAGGAUUAGGUUUUACUGGCUUGGGCUGUAGUCAGCACAUCGAAACACGAUGAUGAGGACUGAGAGGAGCCCCCUGCACCCCUCAGCACGUGAGAGUCCGCCAGUCUGCUAUCUCCACACCACCUACUAAUCAAUUAUGGGUGCUACAACAAGCAAGAGAAGGAAAACCAAAAAAAGAAGGAAAGAUGGGGGUGACCUUGACCUUGACACUUCACCAUAUCAGGACCUUGAACGUUUGAGGACAUUGUCAAAAAACCCGACUCAACCGACUCUCGGCUGAAAUGGACCGCCUGUCAGUCCCCACAAGUCAGUAUUACUCCAGUGAUUCCCUGCUUAUCCCAGACACACAGAGAAGCACGAUGUCUCUGAACAGGAAUCUCAUUGGACAUCCAACAUAUCAUGUGAAGGGGUCAUUCAGUGCAGACAAUCUGAUCCUAGAUGACCAUCCUGUCCUUACCAAACUUCAAAAUGAACAGAAUGCUCGACUGGAGCACAUGGAACAGAGAAUUACGAAGAUCCGUACCAACGCCAUGCAGGCAGCAGAACGGAGGAAGUAUGCUCACAUGUUCCGUGCGAAAUCAGAUGACUCAAGAACUGCCAAGCUUCUAAAAGAAGCGAGUGAGGCUCUUGAGGCUUUAAAACGUGAGAAGAAAUCUCAAAUGACACUCAGUGAGGAAUAUGACAAGGGGGAGAUAAUCCCUGUGAGAAUUUUGUGUGAAGAGCAGCAGAGGCAGAAGGAAGAAUCCAAACCAGCUAAAAAAGUAUCAAAAAAGGAAGAACUGUGGCCGGCUCAACUGCAAGCCUUGAACUUUGGUGAACCGGUCACAUGGCUUCUGCUGCCAUUUCUUCUUCCCCUUCUGCUCGUCCUCUACCUCAUCAGAUCAGUUGGUAACCAAGGCAAUGACAGACAAAAGAAGAGACAAUGAUGACUACUUAAGAUGAAGACUUUGUGCCUCAUAACAACCUUAAGACAACUUAACCCUCACAUCAACACGACUCAGUUAAGUUCCUCUGUGACAUGGAAUUUAUACAUUCACAGCAGUCAAUGUCAGACCUUCCACGGAUAUUUCGAAGAUGGUGGAAAACUCAUACGCCAAGUUUUUAAUUCCUUUGGAGACAAACCUUAUGUGAUUCACAGCUCUGCAGCCCUGGUGCUUCAUUACUUGAAGGUGGAUGUGUUUAGUCAUAUCUUCGCACACAUCGCUAUGGAAUCCAUGCCAACAUUGUACAACCACGCUCUGUUCUUUCAAAGCAUGAAACAUCCCAACAGGUGCACUCCAAACCCAGGAUAGGCUUCUCAAAGGAAGGAAUAUGUUGAACAUAUUGAAGGAAUAUUGUAUUCAUACUGUCUACAGUAAUGCUGAUUUCCAGGAUAUAUCGUAGGAUUCAGCAGCUUUUUGUGUCUGAAUCACAUGAUGAAAAGAACAUCAUCCUAAUUAGGCCCUUACCUUACACCGAGGAAAGAAAUAUCAACAAAUAUUUAAAUUGGAAUAACAUAGGAAUAAUAGUUUAGUUUCAACAUGUUUCUAUCUUUUAUAUGAUGAUUCUACUCAUGGUGUUGUCACCAAUUUGAAAUCGAACAAUAACAAAUUUGUAGUGCCCGACUACAGAAUGGUCACAUGACUUCUUGGAAGGUUAUACUUAAUCCUGCAGGUGCUUUCAGUUCUUGAAAACCUGACAAGAGAUCCCACACCCAUACACCACUGACAUCUUGGAUGACGACGAAUUUGCAUUUGAGACAAAACCAUGGUAAUAUGAAUAUUUUCACAGUUCAUGUUUAAUUUCCUGGGUAUGAUGUGUAUUGAAGAGUGUGCAUGAGAUGGAGAGUUGUGAACUAGGAGACUCCCUGCUGAUUGUUGUAAUGACGAUUGGCAGAUUCACCAUACACUGAUGUUCAAAUAAUUGAUAUUAACAAAUCAAGAGGAAUUACGUCCAGCUAUUCUUCUUGUGACUACUUUUGAAACAUUUGUAAACAGUGGUAGAGUUUAGUGGCUGCUGAGGUCCCUGAUUGUGUGUUGGAUACACUAAAUGUUUACUUUUAAAAUGAAUGUUAUGACAACAAUCCUGUCUUUCAUGGUAACUUAUGUCAGUCUGUUUCGGACUAUUUUUUCGGAAGAUUUUUGUGUCUUCAUACCUCUACUUGUAACGAAUAAAUGCAGAUUUUCAGAAAAGGAUUCUCAGGAUUGUGAAACUCUAGUCUUUGUAUCAGAGUAUGGUGACUGAUUGCUGAAGCGUCAUCCCAACUGCGUGCCUAUCUACACCUGACGAUCAACUGACAUAAUACCUGAUUUGUGAUACUCCAUACAUGACAUGACACCAGUACCUUCGGAGCACAUAUCCACAAUCAGUAUGCUUCAAUGGAUAUGGAAGAUUGACAAUCUUGCUCUGAAAUCACUUGGUCAUGUUCAUGCUGUUAUCCACGUAUGUGGAGAAGAUUAUUUACCAUUGGAUAUUUGGUCCUGAUCAUACAAUAUGAUGUUUGUUGUGGUAAUUGUUAUGAUAUUUGUGAUGAUACAGUGCAUGUCAUGGUGCAGUGCUUGUCAUGAUAAAAUUCAUGUCAUGGUGCAGUGCUUGCCAUGAUACAUGCUUGUCACGACACAGUGACAUUCAUUAUAAUCAGCAAGUUGGGAACUUGGUA
rnacentral:misc_RNA from 1 species